GACGAACGCUGGCGGCGUGCCUAAUACAUGCAAGUAGGACGCAGUUGCGAACGGGUGAUUAACGCCUAGGUUACUACCUAUUAUAGGGGGAUAACUAUUUGAAACGAUAGCUAAUACCGCAUACUAGUAGAUGGACCUUCGUUGUAUUAGGUAGUAGGUAGGGUAAUGGCCUACCUAGGCAACGAUACAUAGCCGACCUGAGAGGGUGAUCGGCCACACUGGGACGGAGACACGGCCCAGACUCCUACGGGAGGCAGCAGUAGGGAAUCUUCGGCAAUGGGGGGAACGCUGACCGAGCAACGCCGCGUGAGUGAAGAAGGUUUUCGGAUCGUAAAGCUCUGUUGUUAAGGAAGCGGUACUUAACCAGAAAGGGACGGCUAACUACGUGCCAGCAGCCGCGGUAAUUC
rnacentral:rRNA from 1 species